GGGAUGUAGACGUUCUGACGGUAAUCGGGGACGUGCUGCAGGGUAAACUGAGGGCUGUAGCGGGUGCUCAGACCCAUGGUGCCUGGAGCCAGAGUGUUGGUCGCCUCGCUGACCUCUGCAGAGAAAGAGUUUUCUGUUAGGUGUCACUUUGCAUAAAUAACAUCAGGAGGAAACACCAGUAGGAGGCCAGAAACUGAAAUGAACCAGAAACUCUUUUUAAACCCAACAAAGAUUAUUCUACAAGACUUUAACCUAGAAAACGAACAAUGACAAAUGCAAAAAAACUGAGUGUUAAUGGAAACCUGCUGAUUGGCUGAUCACAAAACAACGCUGGACAGAACAGUGGAAACAUUGACACGCUCCCUGAUGGGAAACAAAUAACUCGAUAAUGUCUGUCUAAGAGUCUAUGCAGAACAAAUAUAAAAUUAUUCCACUUGCAUCUCAUGUUCUAAUCUGCUUUUACAUAUGCUGACAAUAGUUUGAAGUCAGUAAAUGUUUUUUAUGAAUACUUUUAUCCAGCAAGGAUGCAUUAAAUUGAUCAAAAAUGACAGUAAAGACAUGUUUCUAUUUCAAAUAAAUAUUAUUUUGAACUUUCUAUUCAUCAAAAAAUCCUGAAAAAAAUGGAUCACAAUUUCCAAAAAAAAUGAGAAACUGUUUUUAACAUUGAUAAUAAUUAGAAAUGUUUCUUGAGCAGCAAAUCAGCAUAUUAGAAUGAUUUCUGAAGGAUCAUGUGACACUGAAGACUGGAGUAAUGAUGCUGAAAAUUCAUGGUCAUCAUAGAAAUAAAUUACAUUUUACAGUAUAUUCACAUAGAAAACAGCUAUUUUAAAUUGUCAUAAUAUUUCACAAUACUACUGUUUUUACUGUAUUUUUGAUCAAAUAAAUGCAGACUGGGUGAGCAGAAGAGACUUCUUUCAGAAACAUUCAAUGAAAACUAGAAUUUUGCCUGUAAAACACACACACACACACACACACACACACACACACACACACACACACACACACACACACACACACACACACACACACACACACACACACACACACACACACACACACACACACACACACACACACACACACACACACACACACACACACACACACACACACCC